CACGUAGGGCGCAAGCGUUGUCCGGAAUUAUUGGGCGUAAAGAGCUCGUAGGUGGUUUGUUACGUCUGCUGUGAAAUCCUAGGGCUUAACCCUGGGCUUGCAGUGGAUACGGGCAGACUAGAGGUAGGUAGGGGAGAAUGGAAUUCCUGGUGUAGCGGUGAAAUGCGCAGAUAUCAGGAGGAACACCGGUGGCGAAGGCGGUUCUCUGGGCCUUACCUGACACUGAGGAGCGAAAGCGUGGGGAGCGAACAGG
rnacentral:rRNA from 1 species